CCCCUCGUUUCCCUUUCCAGAGAACCUCUCACCCUUUAUCAACUUAAAACGCCGCUUCAUCUACUCCUUCCUCCCAUUUUCAUACCAGUUUUCCUCAUAUACUCUACAAUUUAUUUUCCUAUUUUCCAACCGUAUUUUUCUGCUGGCAAUUUUAUUGCUUUUUAAAUUUGUUUCUCUCUCAGGUUUCUUCUUUUUUGGGGUUUUAAAUAUUGAGUUAACUAAUUGAUAAAGGUUAGAAUUGAUGAAAAAAAGUACCCAACUAAAUUCUUUUUUUUCAAUUUUAUAUGUUUUGUUCUCCUUUUUCAAUUCUAUAUGUUGUGAAGUAGAAUUGUUUCAUAAUUAAUUAGUAUUUGUCCUAUAACUUGCUUUCAAUACUUUCGUUUAUGUUCUUUACCGUAGGCAUAUUUAAGAACUAAAAAGAUUCUGAAUUUAUUAAAAUAAAAUUUGAAUUGUAUACUUCAGUGUUAUGUUAUAUGGAUUCUUCAUUAUCGAUUCCUCGUCUAUGUAAGAUUUGCAUAAAAUAUACUAUUUUUGAGGAAUUCGACACUCACCCUUAAAUAUUCUUUAAGAAUCCGAACAACAUACAUAGACCCAGUGGAAAUAUCUCAAUAUAUUCAGUGAAUCCACACCAUGCGAAGAAAAUUGAGGCCUCUAGAAUUUGUAUGCUAAUGACAUUUUUCUUUGAAUAAUAUGGUUGUAAAUUUCAAGGUUCAUAGGUUAAACAGUCUAACCUUCAAAUACUAUCUUUUUUGUAGUUUCUGUGUUCUUUACCAGUAUGAAUUAUGAAAGGUAAACUCUAUUUUACUUUUGCGUGUUGUUCUUCUUUCUGGUAGAGAUAGAUGUGUUGGUAGAGAACAUUUACUGUUACAGAACUUCAAUUCGUAGUUUCUGUGUUUCUUCACCCGUGUGAAUUAUGAAAGAUAAACUUUUUUUUUUUACUUUGGCGUGUUGUUUUUCUUUUGGUAGAGAUUGGUGUGUUGGUAGAGAACCUUUACUGCUAUAUAGAAUUUUAAAUUAUUAAACAUUAGACGGAAAUGAGAGCAGAAUGGAUGGUAAGAAUUCAUAAAACUGACACAAAUUAUCAAGACAAAUGUAACAUCCUUUAUUCGUUUUGUCUGAAAAGAGAAAGUGCAGGGGAGAUUGUGAUUACAAAUGAGCAAGAAGGUGACUAUUUUUUGACACUAUGCUUUAUUCAUGGGUUAAUGCAUGGAUGAUCCUUAGGAAAUAAACCAUCAGAUUUAAAUAAAGUAAAAGUUUCGCUACUGGCUAUCAAGAACAUAUGCUCGAAUUAGAUCCUUUGUGUUACUUGGCUUGUGUAAAAUUUCAUUGGCUUUGUCUAUCUAUAAAUUUGGACAAACUUAUACCUAUUAAAUUUAUGUCAUAAAUUCGAUAGUACUUUGUGCUUAGUUUUGCUAUAUUAGUAUAUCAAAUAUUCUAUGACGGCAUAACUAACAAGGAAAAGAAGUCAACGAUUGGGAUAUCGAUGGAUAACUCAAAAUUUCAAGUCGGUGGAGGGAAGUUUCUUUAGAGUGGUUACAGUUUUACGUUUUAUGGUUUAGUUCUGUUUGGAGCUUUUUGUAUUUGCUAUUGUGGUGAUGUUUGUUAUUUUUAGUUCGUAGAUUGUGCUGGAUGUAAAAAAAUAUGACAGCUUUGAAGGUUAUGUUAUGCCAUUUUAAUAAUGUUGUGCAUUACC